rnacentral:lncRNA from 1 species
CAGAAGUGCCGCUGUAAUGGGGUCCGUUUUUGAUAUGUCAAAUAUAAGAUUGGGUCGGAAACUUUUACAUCAAAUAUUUAUGAAUUGAAUGAUGGUAGUUUCGAUGAAACAAUAAAAUUCGGUUGAAAAUAUAAAUAUAUGAAUUGGUGGGUAUUUUGAAUUUAAACAAAAAUUUAACUAGUGUCGGAUUCUGGGAUUCUGGGGAAGUACAUGUGCUAAUAUAAAAAAUAAUUUUCUGCAUAAAAAGGUCCAAAAAAAAUUUCGCAUCGCUCCGCUCGGCGAAACAUCCACAUCAUUUCAACCCUAGCUACGCCUCUGCUAGGGGUGAUCUCAGGUGCUCCAGAAGGGUAAGCAGAUCCUGCUCCACAUGUGGCAUCCGACGUGUUGCUUA